rnacentral:rRNA from 1 species
UGGGGAAUAUUGGACAAUGGGCGAAAGCCUGAUCCAGCAAUGCCGCGUGGAUGAAGAAGGUCUUCGGAUUGUAAAGUCCUUUCGGCGGGGACGAUGAUGACGGUACCCGCAGAAGAAGCCCCGGCUAACUUCGUGCCAGCAGCCGCGGUAAUACGAAGGGGGCUAGCGUUGCUCGGAAUGACUGGGCGUAAAGGGCGCGUAGGCGGUUUGGACAGUUGGGCGUGAAAUUCCCGGGCUUAACCCGGGGACUGCGCUCGAUACAUCCAGGCUUGAGUGAGGAAGAGGGUCGUGGAAUUCCCAGUGUAGAGGUGAAAUUCGUAGAUAUUGGGAAGAACACCGGUGGCGAAGGCGGCGACCUGGUCCUUUACUGACGCUGAGGCGCGAAAGCGUGGGGAGCAAACAGGAUUAGAUACCCCCGUAGUCC